GGUAUAUAGCAGAAAGACCAUGUUCGACGAAGCGGUUUUCAACACGCGUGUAUAGAAGAUACCCACAGUUAGGAAGUGAAGACGGAGAAAUGUGGUGCUUGUGGGAAGUCGGUCUACGCUGCUGAGAGGGUGGCUGCCGGUAAGGAGGUGUUCCACAAGACCUGUCUACGAUGCUCCGUGUGCAAAAUGACGCUGCAGUUAAGCACCUACCACCAGAAUGACGGCAAGCUAUAUUGCAAAACAGAUUUUGCUAAGCACGUGACUGCGAAAAACACGCAAGCGGCGGUUGUGUAGAAGAAAGAAGCAAUUAACCUGGAAACCGGACUAUAAUGGAUACUCAUGCGCAUGCACUAAUCAAUCAAAUACCGUUUACGAGCACGGAUUAAAAUAUCUCAUUUCUAUUAUUUUGCUUACUAUUUGCUUGCUACUCUCGCAAUCGAAUAUAUAUACGGCAUGCAGCAUCAAGUUGUACUAUUCAUCCGUUCCCAGGUGCCACCAUGCAGUUAUAUAUUGGUACAGGCCACUAGCUGCUCUACAUAAACGAUUAUAUAUGAAUUAUACAUAUUAUAUUACAAUUUACAUAUAUAUAGAUCUGUGGUAUAGGCCCUCGUGGCCACCCACCAGAGUCACAGCACCUGUUGUACUGGCGCAGUAAUACAUCGAAUAAGAGAAUUGUAACGUCUUCGAUAUGUUUCCCUGCUGACUCCACUCCAGGGCUUUGAUGAGAACGUCGGCACCUAUAUGAGUUAAUUUACAGCACUGUCGUUUGUAAAACAAAGCUAAUGUAUACACAUAUAUGUGCAUGCGUGAACACAUGCUGGUGUUAUAUACCGUUUAAUAAUUCCGUAUUCUUCAAAUUCCUACCAGAUUGCUGUCAAUUACUACUAUUGUAAACAGUAUACUAUUGUACUAUUAUACUAUUGUAAACAGUAUAACAGAUGGGGGCCCGGUAUUUCUUCACAAUAGAAGGAGUGUAGUUAGAACA